UGGGGGAUAUUGCACAAUGGGCGAAAGCCUGAUGCAGCGACGCCGCGUGGGGGAUGAAGGCUUUCGGGUUGUAAACCUCUUUCGCUAUCGAACAAGGCCCGCUUAGGGUGGGUUGAGGGUAGGUGGAGAAGCAGCGCCGGCUAACUACGUGCCAGCAGCCGCGGUAAUACGUAGGGCGCGAGCGUUGUCCGGAAUUAUUGGGCGUAAAGGGCUUGUAGGCGGCUUGUUGCGCCUGCUGUGAAAACGCGGGGCUUAACUUCGCGCGUGCAGUGGAUACGGGCAGGCUUGAGUGUGGUAGGGGUACCUGGAAUUCCAGGUGUAGCGGUGGAAUGCGCAGAUAUCUGGAGGAACACCGAUGGCGAAGGCAGGUCACUGGGCCAUUACUGACGCUGAGGAGCGAAAGCAUGGGUAGCAAACAGG
rnacentral:rRNA from 1 species